AUUGAACGCUGGCGGCAUGCCUUACACAUGCAAGUCGAACGGUAACAGGUCUUCGGAUGCUGACGAGUGGCGAACGGGUGAGUAAUACAUCGGAACGUGCCUAGUAGUGGGGGAUAACUACUCGAAAGAGUGGCUAAUACCGCAUGAGAUCUACGGAUGAAAGCAGGGGAUGGCAAGACCUUGUGCUACUAGAGCGGCCGAUGGCAGAUUCGGUAGUUGGUGGGAUAAAAGCUUGCCAAGCCGACGAUCUGUAGCUGGUCUGGGAGGACGAUCAGCCACACUGGGACUGAGACACGGCCCAGACUCCUACGGGAGGCAGCAGUGGGGAAUUUUGGACAAUGGGCGCAAGCCUGAUCCAGCAAUGCCGCGUGCAGGAUGAAGGCCUUCGGGUUGUAAACUGCUUUUGUACGGAACGAAAAGCCCUGGGUUAAUACCCUGGGGUCAUGACGGUACCGUAAGAAUAAGCACCGGCUAACUACGUGCCAGCAGCCGCCGUAA
rnacentral:rRNA from 1 species